UUGACGGUACACUUGAUUCGAUAAGUUUGACAAAAUCACACUAAAACAUUUCCAACACUUUUGUGAUUCUUUCAGAUGCAAACAUAUGUAAGUGAGCGAAUUGUCAAAAUAAUCAAGUAAUUAUGUAGUUGCAUUACUCCUCGCAUUACUCAACUCAAUAGAGAUAAGUGACAUUUCAACACACGAACACUUGCGCAAAUUUUUCCUCACACAAAAGUGCACGCCGAAUGAAAGGCUAUUCAGAUUGCAUAUAUGCAAAUAUUACCCAAUCAAAUUGGGUAAAACGGGUAAAUAAUGAUAAAACUAACGUCCGGGGCAAGAUUGCAAAUAUUUUCCUCGCAGUUUCACUACUACAUCUCAGAGUUGCUCUCUAUCACUAUCAAUGGUAGGCAAACUGCCGAUUUUGAUAGGCUGACUGCGGUCCAAGUCAGCGUGUGCUCUGUUGAGUCACCGCGUCACCGUCACUUUUCUUUUCCCAUCAUAACUGGACUGAUUGCGAUGGCGGGUAGAUAUCACUGAUACACCAUCUUUAAAAUUCGUUUAAAAAUCAAAAUAAACACUUAAAACACAGAGAACAGACAUCCAAGUCCAGUUCCCAAACUGUGUAAGGAAUUUAACGGCCAUUUGAAAUCGGCAACACAAGUGGCAACACAGCGGCGCUGCAAUCGGUUAAUUUCCCAUACUAAUUUAAUUCACCACUUGAAAUGUUUCAAUUCACCACUGACUGUGGCAAUAUGGUGUUUGGCGGCGUUAGUGUGCUGGAUAUUUUUCUUUUGAUGGGUCGUAUUGCCCCGUUUGUUUUGAAAAGGUGUUACCGUUUGUAACAGUAAGUCUGUGUAUUUGUGUUAAUUUGUUUAUUCUAUUGUUAAAAAAAAUAUAUACAUUGCAUGUUUCCGUAUUAUUUAUUCAAAUAAUUAAAAUUAGCCAAAUGCCAUAAAAAUACCCCUACACGUAUUCAUACAAACUCACCACACCACACUACAAUAAAAAGCACCAAUGAAAUAGUUUCAGUUCAGUGGAAAAGGGGAAGUUAAAAGGGAAAUAUGAAAAAGGAGAAGAUGACUAUUGAAAGAUCAUCCCAGCGUUAAAGGAAUGAGUCAGGAUUUUCUCGAAAGAACCUCAUUCGAAAAAGACGUUGAAAAGUCGAUGAAGAUAUAAAGUCCAAAAGUUUUUUGAGUACUGAAUUUAGUGAGAAGUUUGUAAACCCCUUUUUGAACACGCUUUGUGAGAAUCAGAGCCGUUGACCCGGAGUUCCCGGACGUGCUCAGGUGACCCGCAGAGCUCGGCCGACGCGACAUACCGUCGGGCUCGCUGAGAAUUCCGCCACCGUAAGGCUCCACAACGAAACUCCAGUGGACAUAACCUCAUUGUGUCCCCACGCCGAACAUUACUCCGAGUUUAGUGCGAAUUCGGACCUCACGGAAUUCUGCCGAAACCCUUCUACGCCAGGCAACCGCCGUUGUCGCUGGUCCAAGCCCCAGAUCGAGACCAGUACCCACCAAGCGCUCCCGCCAAUUCUCCAGCAGUUCCCGGCCGGCCCAUAGGUAUUUAUUUAAGAAUUUCACAACCCACACACACACAAUCAUCCACACAGCUCUGUAUUUGCUAGGGUAAUAAAUCUUGUAAUUGUAAUUCACCAGCUUUUCCAUUACACCCACAUAUCCGAGGUCUGAUUAGCCGACUAGAUUCCACUCCAGCCGACCUUGAGACCAGAGAGGUGCUCCAGAUCGCGCUAGCCAGGAAAAGAGGUUGUUGUAGAACCCGGCCUCACACGACAAGCCGUUGCUCUGCCAAGCUUGCCGAGGUCUUUUGUCCUGGUAGCACGUGUGCUACCCUACCUACCAGUAACAAA